GCGCGCGCGCGCCAGGCCAGGUUGUUCCGAUUCCUUGGUCUCGCGACCUGUUGCUUUGCAACUGCUUCACGCCUCACGCAAUCUACGCCGACUUAAUACGCGUCGCCGGAUAACGGUGCAUAUAUUUGCUUCAUAUAUGUCCCGCUGCGUCGCGGACUCCCGUCGCGGCGCGACGGUCACGCGCGGCGGCGAACGCAGAGGCGAGACCAUCAAGGCGGAAAUAAAUCCUUGCGAAAGCGUGCGCGCGAGAAUUCGCGGAGAACGCAACGCGCUCGGCCGGCUUCGCGCGGAAAUAUCAAUGACGAUUUUGUGCGAACGCGAGUCGCAGGCGAGCGUCAUCGAAUCGAUCGCUCCGAGAUCGCCGCGAGAUGUCCGCCGGGUUUCUUCGCCGGCCGAGUGUGCCACCAGCGGUUCCGGUUCACGUAGUUCGCCGCAACGACGCUCACGAGGAGGUUGCUCAGGGUGAAGCAAAGGGCUCGUGACUGCGUGGCCGCUGCAAAGUGUCGCGAGGAUGAGGACUCUCAAGAUACGAGAGAUGGGACGCUGGCGGGACGCGAAUGCAGCCGCGGGGAAGGGGAAACGCGCGUUCUUCUGGGCUUCUCGCGCGCGGACUUUCGCAGCUACGAGAACGACGGUCUCUCCUCACCUUCUGAAACGCGCAGCGCGACGCACGCGAGAGAGAGAGAGAGAGAGCACGCCGGUGCCGCAUGAGCGUACGUGCAUCCGGUUGCCAUUCGCGGAUAUCCAGCCGCGAGAACGCGCUUGUUUCGCGGCGCUGGAGCGUUCAGUGGAAAAAAAAAGAAAAAAAGAGGUGAAUGCCGCGGAUCGAUCCAUCGGACAUCCGAGAGACGCGCCGUUUCCGGCGCUCUCGGGUCGGCUAAUUCGCCGCGAAUAUCGUCACCACGCGUUCGCUCGCCUGCACUGACCCGUCACUCUGACUCCUGAGACCACCGUGAGGAAGCACGCGCGGCUGCUAAUCGCGAGCGGAAAACGUCACGGAAUUUUCCGCGGAAACUCGCGGUCGCCGGAAAUCCCGCGUGCCGGAGCGGAAACCGCGCGCGAGCGCGGUCGCGCCAUUGAGGAAAACGCUCGCCGCACGUGGCCGAGGCGACGCGA